UACAAACGCUGGCGGCGUGCCUAAUACAUGCAAGUCGAACGGGGAAAGCUUUCGGGUGAGUACUAGUAGCGCACGGGUGAGUAAUACGUAGAUAAUCUGCCUUCGAGUUGGGGAUAACUAGUCGAAAGAUUAGCUAAUACCGAAUAAGACCACAAGAACUGAGGUUCUAGGGGUUAAAGGUUUUUCGCUUGAAGAUGAGUCUGCGCGAGAUUAGCUAGUUGGUGUGGUAACGGCUCACCAAGGCAACGAUCUCUAACUGGUCUGAGAGGAUGAUCAGUCACACUGGAACUGAGACACGGUCCAGACUCCUACGGGAGGCAGCAGUAGGGAAUAUUGCACAAUGGGGGAAACCCUGAUGCAGCGACGCCGCGUGAGUGAUGAAGGCCUUCGGGUCGUAAAGCUCUGUCGCAAGGGAAUAAUAAACUGAAUGUACCUUGCAAGAAAGGAUCGGCUAACUGCGUGCCAGCCGCCGCCGUAA
rnacentral:rRNA from 1 species